rnacentral:rRNA from 1 species
GACGAACGCUGGCGGCGUGCCUAAUACAUGCAAGUCGAACGCAGUGGGGACGGGUGAGUAACACGUGGGUAACCCCCCAUCAGAGGGGAUAACACUUGGAAACAGGUGCUAAACCGAUACUGAUGGAUGGACCCGCGGUGCAUUAGCUAGUUGGUGAGGUAACGGCUCACCAAGGCCACGAUGCAUAGCCGGCCUGAGGGGGUGACGGGCAACACUGGGAGUGAGACACGGCCCAGACUCAUACGGGAGGCAGAAGUGGGGAAUCUUGGGCAAUGGACGAAAGUCUGACCGAGCAACGGCGCGUGAGUGAAGAAGGUUUUCGGAGCGUAAAACUCUGUUGUUAGAGAGGCGGUAUCUAACCAAAAAGCCACGGCUAACUACGUGCCAGCAGCCGCGGUAAUAC